UAGGGAAUCUUCGGCAAUGGACGAAAGUCUGACCGAGCAACGCCGCGUGAGUGAAGAAGGUUUUCGGAUCGUAAAACUCUGUUGUUAGAGAAGAACAAGGACGUUAGUAACUGAACGUCCCCUGACGGUAUCUAACCAGAAAGCCACGGCUAACUACGUGCCAGCAGCCGCGGUAAUACGUAGGUGGCAAGCGUUGUCCGGAUUUAUUGGGCGUAAAGCGAGCGCAGGCGGUUUCUUAAGUCUGAUGUGAAAGCCCCCGGCUCAACCGGGGAGGGUCAUUGGAAACUGGGAGACUUGAGUGCAGAAGAGGAGGGUGGAAUUCCAUGUGUAGCGGUGAAAUGCGUAGAUAUAUGGAGGAACACCAGUGGCGAAGGCGGCUCUCUGGUCUGUAACUGGCGCUGAGGCUCGAAAGCGUGGGGAGCAAACAGG
rnacentral:rRNA from 1 species